CGCCUUGCCAGCCCGCUCAGAACUCAAAGGAAUUGACGGGGGCCCGCACAAGCGGUGGAGUAUGUGGUUUAAUUCGAUGCAACGCGAAGAACCUUACCUGGUCUUGACAUCCCGGAGACCCUUGGGAAACUAGGGGGUGCUUCCAUCUGGAAGAAUCUGGAGACAGGUGCUGCAUGGCUGUCGUCAGCUCGUGUCGUGAGAUGUUGGGUUAAGUCCCGCAACGAGCGCAACCCUUGCCUUUAGUUGCCAGCAGUUCGGCUGGGCACUCUAAAGGGACUGCCGGUGUUAAACCGGAGGAAGGUGGGGAUGACGUCAAGUCCUCAUGGCCUUUAUGACCAGGGCUACACACGUACUACAAUGGCCGAUACAAAGGGCAGCGACACUGCGAGGUGAAGCCAAUCCCGUAAAAUCGGUCUCAGUCCGGAUUGGAGUCUGCAACUCGACUCCAUGAAGUUGGAAUCGCUAGUAAUCGUGGAUCAGCAUGCCACGGUGAAUACGUUCCCGGGCCUU
rnacentral:rRNA from 1 species